rnacentral:lncRNA from 1 species
CCACAUCUUAACUCUAACCUUGUCAUCAUCAUAUCCAUUUCAUCCCAUUUGGAUCUGGAUUAUCGCAAUACUCAACGAAUUUAGCGUGUCUAACGUUAGUAGUUCCUUACAUAUCCCCUAACAUAUGAAUCUCAAACAACCAAGAUUUCAUUGUAAAAGUCUGAUCCCUCCUAGAAUAUAGUGAAGUGCGAGCACUUAGCUGGCUUGUUAUUUAUUGCACACACUACAACAGUGUGCACUUGGGCAAUUCUCUUAACCUGGAUGAGACCAUGGCGGAAAGCAGUGCGCCCUUCUUCCUUCAUUGCAAGAUUAUGCCAUCUAUGCAAAACUCUAUACCAACUUUCGAGGUAGAAGUUCA